UCUCCCUUCUUUAUCUGCGGUUUCGGGAACCCAUGGUUUACUGUUGCCGCCUCCUUUUUCCGCCUCAAAAACCACCGUGAGCCACCGAAGGUCUGGAGCUCCUCUGUCCUGGUGUCGCCUUUGACAGUGUAGCGUCGCGUAAUUGCAAGCUUCCUUUUUUUUUUUUCUUUUUUCUUCGCUGCUUCUAAUCUACUAUGCUACUGCUUAUAUCUCUUUCUCAAAAAUAGCCCAAUCAAGUUUAAAAGGGGUUUGGUAGUGGACCAUGAAUUGUGAGUUUAAGGAACAAAUAUAAAUUGGGCUUUGAUCUUAUGAUGGGGUAUCUAUGAUUAUGGGCUUUUAAAAAUAAUCAAAAAGCCAAAAUCAAGCUAUUAUAUGAUGUAUUUGGGAUUACUUAAUUAGUGAUGGAGCUCAUGGACGUUGAUUACUGGAGUCCAAUUAAGAUGAUUAAUCUUAAGCGAUCGAGGUAAAUGCCCAAGUUUCUAUUAGGAUAGGAACUUGAAUCGAAUGGUGAAGUUCCUGGUAUACACUUGGGACAGUCACUAGAGUUCCAGAGCUGGAAGUUGUACCUGUUCCAGUUUGAAGUCACAAGAGAAGCAACACAGUUGCAUAUCAAGAGUUCCUAAUACUCACAAGAACUAUAGCAGACUCAUGGCCACGAGUUCCUAUUUAAACAUUAGAGGAACUCAUUAAUGUUCCUGUGCUGGAACAAGUGAAGCUUCAGAGUUGAAUGCCUCACCAAAGGAAAGACAUAUACGUCUAGGUAGUUUAUCUUGCUUAGUUUAUAUGUAAUAUAUUAAUAUGUUAAGUGGUAUAUAAGGAACUAGAGGAACUUGGAUUACUCGUGUGUUUUUUGUCAAAAUAUCAAGCAACACAGUUUUAAGGAAAAUACUUUAAAUAUAAUAUCUUUUCAUAUUUAAUAAAAAUUAGAUUUUUAUCACAAUUAAAUAAAAACAGUUUUUAUCUUCCUAAAACUUCUCCUAAAUAUUUUGACAAAGUAAAGAAACAUUCUUUUCAAAACAAACAGUGACUGACAUAGUCUUAGACACGUCCAGCAGUUGAGGAAGUUGUGUGGGAAGUGGUCUCCCCUUGUUCCUCAAGUCUAGGGACGUGACAAUCAAAGUGUCAGUUGUUGGCAGUUGAGUUUUCGAAGGAAACAAAUCCUAAGGACAAAAUUCUAUAUAAGGCAAAGAAGUUUUCUGAAACAAAACACACAAACUUUCUAAGAGUUCUUGCUUUCCUAAAAACGCAUUGUCAAAGAUUUUCUAAAAAACAGUUUGUGUCCUAGUUAAUCCCAAGUUCCUAAGUGCCAUAUAUACACCAAAGCAUCAUUAAUAUCUAGAGUUAUCCAAAUACGAAUUGUAUUUUGUAUUAGUAAGGAUAGAGUUAUCUUGUUGAGACUUAGAGUUUAAGUCUGAGAGAGAGAAGUGAAAGAGCUGUAAUCAGAGUAGAUUACUGCGAGGAACACAAGUUUGAGAGGAACCUGUGUUGGAGAGAUUAUUGUAAUCGAGGCAUUACUAUAAUAAAAGGAAUUCUCU